CACAUGUUGAAUCUGAUCAUGUGUUUACAAUUUUUGUUAUUAUCAUAUGAGCCAAAGUAAGUUGGUUACUCCAUUAAUGAGAGUGAGAAUGACAGAGUACCUAUAUUUUCCAAAUGUUUUAGUUACAAUUAAUAAUUAGGUUCCUAAGGCAAGAAGAGAAGUCAGGACAAGGGAAAGAAUAUGGUUAUUUAACUUCUCAUAAAAACAAAGCAUAUGUAUGUAGGUUCAAUUUGCAUUCAAUGAAUAGACUAUUGGUGCCAAUUGAACUAGGAAUUAUGUGAGUGUUUUCGUGCGUGUGGGGGUGUGUGCAGGAUUAUUAAUGCCCCGAUUCUUGAAUUGCAUAAAAGUAAGAAAAAACAGUAUAAGUCAGCUAGCUGGAUAAGAACUGGCAGCCAAGCAAAAUCCACAUGGAAUCAAAUGGAGUGUGGUUAAACAGGGAGGGUGUCGGUGGUGGCUCUACUAGGAUCACUUCGUGGUGUGCACCUUUUGUGGGGGUGUCUGAAUGUUGAUACUUCUGUGGUGGAAGGGCGUGGCUGUAUUAGAGUUGGUGGGGUCAUUUGGGAUGCCAAUUGUGUUGUUUUGGCUUCUUGGGCAGCUGGUGUUCCAAACACUUUCUCUGUUGCUGUUGCUGAGCUGUUAGCAGUCUGCUAUGGUCUACAAGUGGAUUUUUACCUGGAUUCAAAAUUGAUAUUGUUGAGAGUGACUCUAGCAAAGUAAAUGCAUGGAUCCUAAAGUUUUCUGGGACUCGUUUGUUAAGUCAUGUUUUGGUUGAUAUUAUUCAGUUCUUAGAUGCUGUCGGUGGUGGCUUUUGUCAAGCUAUUUUGCUCUUUGCGAAUGGUGUGGCCUGCAUACUGGCGACUUCUCUUAGUAGUUUUAUAGAAGAGUUUAUUUGGACAAAUUAUUGUUCCCGAUUUAUUAGUUCUCCUGUAACAAUUGAUUUCAAUUAAUAAAUGUUUUUUCCUUAAA